AACGAACGCUGGCGGCAGGCUUAACACAUGCAAGUCGAACGCCCCGCAAGGGGAGUGGCAGACGGGUGAGUAACGCGUGGGAAUCUGCCCUUGGGUUCGGAAUAACAGUUGGAAACGACUGCUAAUACCGGAUGAUGACUUCGGUCCAAAGAUUUAUCGCCCAGGGAUGAGCCCGCGUAGGAUUAGCUAGUUGGUGAGGU
rnacentral:rRNA from 1 species